AACGCAUUCUAGUAAAUGAGGGGACGGAUGGACGGAUGAAAGGAAUUAAUAGGGGAUGAUCAUCAACCACCCGGACUGCAGAGCUUUUAAUACAACUUCCAGUCAAUGGUCUUUUCCUUCCGAAGGAUAGCGCGGAUAUCUGUACAGUACAGGCUAAUAUGUGGACGUAAGGGUUAGAAUCUGCAUCCUCCUGAGACCGGGAAGCCAUGGAAAGGUAGUCUAUAUGCAAUUGCAUUGCUUUUCUUUAUGAUCUUUGGUUUGUUUAACUUGUGCGCGAUUUAUUCUUUAUUUCAUUUGAUUAAGCAUUAGUCAAUCACUAUUAUAACUUUGAAUCUUAGUUUAAGGCUUUGUCUUUGUUUUUACAACGCGACGCAUCUUUAAUGAAUGGUCUGCACGCAAGAGGAGCGCACCCUCACGUAUGGACUCCAUAUGUUUGGUGCGCGCAUAACGGACCCCACCGGCAACCUUUCAAAGGCUUUCUGCAGCACUAACAACCUCCCUGCCAACACUCGCUGUCUUCAAGCACCAUGCCGUCUCUGUAUCAUGGGGCCAUCUUCGUGGGGGUCUUCCUCAUAGUGACCGGGGGCUCCACCGCCUUCCUCACCUCGUCCCAGAGCCGUCUGCAGGCCUUCUCCCUCUGCUGCGUGGUGCUAGGGGCCGUCAUGCUCAUCCUGGGGCUCUUUUGGGCCAUGAACACCAAGUCCCCGGUCAACUACAGCCACGGAGAAUACAACGGAGAGUGUCCGCACUAUCCCUACAACGACUACCCCAACUUUGGGAGCCACGUCCUUUUUGCGCCAUCGGGGAGCCGCUUCCCGGAGUCCCAGUCGGUGUUUCUGCCAAGGCACACAACCCCAGAACGCCAUCGGAGUGGCGCCAACUGUGAGGAAUUUGACUACCCUCCCAUGGAUCCCGGAUGUUUCAGUCCCUCCACACAACCUCCCCCGUGGCUUGGACCCCGGCCCCCCUAUGAAGUGGCCAUCAAGGUUACCUGCAGCUCGACGCAACUGCGGCGGGCAUAUUCUGACACCCACCUGGCAUCGGAGCCCCUGUUCGGACGGUCAAGGGAGAUCAGCUUUGAGGUGUGACGCCGGCCAAUGUUCAGACCUCCUUCCCGUGGCUGCCAGUCCAAUAGGCGAAGGUUUUAGGCUGGUGUUCCGAAAUGCAGACGACCUGGAAUCCAACCUUCAUUAGUCAGUGUGAUUAGCGACAUGGUAUGACAGUAACAUCAAUUGAUGCCUGAGGCAGCAUGCUUUUUGCUAAUGUUGACUGAAUAUGUUCCAGCAUGCGCAACCUAUCUCAGAGAUUACUUUGCCCAGUUAAUAAAACGUCAGCGAUCUGAUAAAGUGAUGUGUCUAACCAGAUUUUGGCCUUAUGUAAAGUAUACUUUAUUAUACACGCUUAUUAUUAUUGGUAUGUAGCAACGAUUAUUGUAUGGUUUAGCCUAACUCUAACCCUAUCCCUAACCCUAUUUUGAAGCCUGAAGGGAUAACUUCCGGAUUUUUCAACCUGGACUCUAUUUUUUGCAACUUUAAUUUUUGGUCUAAGUGACUAAUGCAGACAUUACAUUUUAAAUUUGGUCCAUUAUUGAACGCCUGUGCAAGAGUGGCUGUUUUUGCAACUGACUGAGAUUAUAUUCUAUCAUUGUGGAAAGGAUCCUUCCUGAGAAAUACGCUUGAUCUGAUCUGUUUGUUAUUGUGUCUUGUCAAGUCUUGAUCAAGACGUUUCACUCUGUAAUCGUAUUGCAGGAACUGUCCCUAUUGUUUCACUGUCAUUACAAUCUCAACUUUCCUUCAUCUAUAUUUUUGAGAAAUCAAUAAAUUACACUUUCUGUAUUCCAACGCAAAAAACUCCUGCACUUGCCUGCACUCCUGUCUCCAUCUCCCUCAAGUUCUACUUUUCUCUUCCUGCUUGAACUCAACCCGAGCAAUAUUUCAGCUGUAUUUCUCUGUAGGGAUCCUUUCCGCAAUGUCAGACACUUAUUAUAACAACCAACAAGCACUUUAAGAGAAUGUACAGGGUCACAUAGGGUAGGGUUAUAUUGCUUCGUGCAUCAUGACUGCAGUGGCUUAAGAAGUCUUGCUCAACAAUGGACCAAUUUCAAAAAUAUUUGUCCAUGUUAGGAAUUAAAGGUCAAUUUUGAAAAAUCCAGAAGUUAUCAUUUAACUGGGUUAUUGGGAUUGCAACAGCCAUGUGGUGUCUGUAGUAUUAAUUUGGUUUUAAAAAAGGAUCACACAUUAUUUAAUAACCCUUAUAUCCCAUGUAGGUGGUUCCUUGUUAUUCACAUCAGAUUGUAAAAAUGGCUCCAUAACUAUAUCAAUAUGAUUAUUUACUUGCAGGCUUGCCAGUAGUUGGAGGAACUAAUACAGGCAUAAGGUUCACUGCACCUACUACUAGGGGUGGAACCAGUGUUGCCAGAUUGGGCUACUUUUGGUGGACGGUCAGGCAGUGUUGCCAGUUUGGGCGGUUUCCCCCGCUCUAUUGGGCUACUUUUAAAGUAUGCACCGGCUCGUUAUUCUCUUAAACACACACACACACACACACACACACACACACACACACACACACACACACACACACACACACACACACACACACACACACACACACACACACACAAGCAGUGCAGGGCAAUACAUUUGACCUUUCAGAUUCUUCAAUUAAAUUAAUUUUACAUUUCUGCAUUUCUAGCAAUGCUUUGCGCUCUUCAUUCAGCUGUCACUUUAUUUGUGUCCAACCAUUUACAUUUUCUUAAAUGGUGUGCAUGUUUACUCCAUUUAGACUUUUGAAAUUUUGUUCAAAUCCCUUUACUUAAUUUAAGCCAUUUAGCGUUUCUUUAUGUCUUAAUCUAUGUGGCUUUAUUAAAAAAUAUUUUCAACCUUA
ensembl:lncRNA